GCCAGGGUCCUGUCAGUAUUCAGCCACCAGGCCCAGGAGGUCAUUCACUGAUCCCUGUUAAUCAGGCUGGGUCUGGGAGGUGAGUGGCCUACCUUGGCACUGCAAAGAAGGACAAUCAGCCCUCCAGAGACUUCAUUGCCCUCACUGAGGACAGGGUCCAGGUGGCAGCUGUGCAUUUGGGCAUUGCCUUGCCCAGUGUCCAGUGAGUCCACAUUUGAAGCACAACUGGUGGCAGCUGUUGGGCCCCAUUGGUGUCAUCAUCUUCUUCGUAGGAGCCCUCAGGACUGUGGUCAUCAGCUGGUACUUUUGUUUGGACAAGGUUUGGACCCUGAAGUUCCUACCCAUUCAGUGCCUGUGAGGAAAUACAAAACAUAUGCAACUGCUCUUCAUAAGAAAACCAUCAGCCCUGCAGAAGAAAACGUGGAUGAAGUGAUCUGCAAGUGUCUCUUGCAUUUGGCAAGGGAUUGAUG